UAACGUAGGGGGCAAGCGUUGGUCCGGAAUCAUUGGGCGUUAAAGCAGCGUGUAGGCGGCUCGGUAAGUCUGCUGUGAAAGUCCAGGGCUCAACCCUGGGAUGCCCGGUGGAUACUGUCGAGCUCGAGUCCGGGAAGAGGCGAGUGGAAUUCCUGGUGGUAGCGGUGAAAUGCGCAGAUAUCAAGGAGGAACACCAAUGGCGA
rnacentral:rRNA from 1 species